AAAACAUAUUCUCCCCAUCAUCAUAUUCUCUCCAUCAUUUUCCACAAGAGUCCGGAGAACCUUUUUAUUAAUGGUGAAGCAGUACCAUAUGAUCCCAAGUACUGUGACGAAUGGAUAAGAAACAAUAGCCGAGCAAACGAGAGAAACAGACGCUAAAUCAUCUAGAUGGGCAAAUACAACCUCAGAUUCUUUCAUUGAAAUACUUGUCAUUCCUCUCAAUUGGUUUGGUGGCCCUAGAUUGACCAAUAUCACAGGAGCAAUGAAAAUACUUACGUGUUGCACAAGCCUUCGCGCAUUCUUCCUUUCAGAAUCCUUUAUAGCUGCAUCGCUUUCAAGCUAACUAUAAGAAAUUCAAAAAAUUAGAUGCAAGUGGUUAUUGAUUACUGAUUACUUACUUUCGAUGGAUAUUGUAUUCAAACAAUAUUUGUAAUUAUAACGUAGUUUGGAAACAAAAACAUUAGUUGGUUGCUAA